UACGGGGGGGGCAAGCGUUGUUCGGAAUUACUGGGCGUAAAGGCUCGUAGGUGGCCAACUAAGUCAGACGUGAAUCCCCAGGCUCAACUUGGGAACUGCGUCUGAUACUGGAUGGCUUGAGUAUGGGAGAGGGAUGUAGAAUUCCAGGUGUAGCGGUGAAAUGCGUAGAUAUCUGGAGGAAUACCGGUGGCGAAGGCGGCAUCCUGGACCAUUACUGAC
rnacentral:rRNA from 1 species